GUGCUCACUUGGGCAGCACAGAUACUAAAAUUGGAAUGAUACAGAGAAGAUUAGCACGGCCCCUGCGCAAGGAUGACACACAAAUUUGUGAAGGAUUCUUUAUUUUU
ensembl:snRNA U6 U6 spliceosomal RNA